CGGUGUGGCAGCCCAUGGCGGUGUGACA
rnacentral:sRNA from 1 species